UCCGUAGGUGGAUCAAUAAGUCAGAGGUGAAAUCCUGCAGCUUAACUGUAGAACUGCCUUUGAUACUGUUGAUCUUGAGUCAUUAUGAAGUGGUUAGAAUGUGUAGUGUAGCGGUGAAAUGCAUAGAUAUUACACAGAAUACCGAUUGCGAAGGCAGAUCACUAAUAAUGUACUGACACUGAGGGACGAAAGCGUGGGGAGCGAACAGGAUUAGAUACCCUGGUAGUC
rnacentral:rRNA from 1 species